AACGCACCUUGCGCUCCUUGGUAUUCCGAGGAGCAUGCCUGUUUGAGUGUCAUUAAAUUCUCAACCUCAUCAGUUUUGUUAUGAGACUGUGUGAGGCUUGGAUGUGGGGGUUUUUGCAGGCUGCCUCAGUGCGGUCUGCUCCCCUGAAAUGCAUUAGCGAGUUCCAACUGGGCUCCGUCUAUUGGUGUGAUAAUUAUCUACGCCGUGGAUUGGGCUUAGACUUGCUUCUAACCGUCCGCAAGGACAAUCUUUUGACAAUUUGACCUCAAAUCAGGUAGGACUACCCGCUGAACUUAA
rnacentral:misc_RNA from 1 species